rnacentral:lncRNA from 1 species
AAAAGCUUGAGUUUGGUUGUGGAAACUAGUAUAAUGACUCGAAAAAUUGACUCUCUUCAAAAUGGCUAGGUAUACGAAUUAUUGUUUGAUGGUUUGCUUGGGCCAAUGCAAAAUAAAAGAGAAAAUCCAUUUGCUUUGCAUGGAUUUGAUGGGUUAGGAUGAAGCCCCCUUAGUGGCUUGCACUUGGCAGGAGCCCCCAAGUCAUCAUCAGGAAGUUUUAUGCUUGCUUGCAAGAAGUAUGAGGCAACUAAAAGAGAAGCCCUCUUGUCCAUUGCAUCCUACCAUGUUUCGCUAAUUGCCUCAGUCUCUC